GAUGAACGCUGGCGGCGUGCCUAAUACAUGCAAGUCGAGCGAACGGACGAGAAUCUUGCUUCUCUGAUGUUAGCGGCGGACGGGUGAGUAACACGUGGAUAACCUACCUAUAAGACUGGGAUAACUUCGGGAAACCGGAGCUAAUACCUGAUAAUAUUUUUAACCGCAUGGUUCAAAAGUUAAAGACGGUCUUGCUGUCACUUAUAGAUGGAUCCGCGCUGCAUUAGCUAGUUGGUAAGGUAACGGCUUACCAAGGCAACGAUGCAUAGCCGACCUGAGAGGGUGAUCGGCCACACUGGAACUGAGACACGGUCCAGACUACUACGGGAGGCAGCAGUAGGGAAUCUUACGCAAUGGGAGAAAGCCUGACGGAGCAAAGCCGAGUGAGUGAUGAAGGUAUUCGGAUCGUAAAACUAUGUUAUUAGGGAAGAACAUAUGUGUAAGUAACUGUGCACAUCUUGACGGUACCUAAUCAGAAAGCCACGGCUAACUACGUG
rnacentral:rRNA from 1 species